GCCCAGCCGUAAACUUUUAUUUACAUCUCAAUCGCCAGGGAACUACGAGCUAAGCUUAAAACCCAAAGGACUUGACGGUACCCCAUAUCCCCCUAGAGGAGCCUGUCCUAUAAUCGAUAAUCCACGUUUAACCUCACCAUUUUUAGUUAAUCAGCCUGUAUACCUCCGUCGUCAGCUUACCACGUGAGCGCCAAUUAGUGAGCUUAAUGUUACUUCACCAACACGUCAGGUCAAGGUGCAGCAAAUGAAAUGGGAAGAGAUGGGCUACACUUUCUAAUGUAGAAGAAACGAAAAACUACCUAUGAAACCUAGUUAGAAGGCGGAUUUAGCAGUAAAAAGAAAUCAUCAUGUUCAUUUUAACUCGGCACUGGGGUGUGU
rnacentral:rRNA from 1 species